AGAGCGGCGCACGGGUGAGUAACGCGUACGCAAUCUGCCCUUCAGUGAGGAAUAGCCCUGGGAAACUGGGAUUAAUACCUCAUAAUAUUAUCUGUUCGCAUGGAUGGAUAAUUAAAGUUCUGGCGCUGAAGGAUGGGCGUGCGUCUGAUUAGUUUGUUGGUAGGGUAACGGCCUACCAAGGCUACGAUCAGUAGGGGGCGUGAGAGCGUGACCCCCCACACGGGUACUGAGACACGGACCCGACUCCUACGGGAGGCAGCAGUAAGGAAUAUUGGGCAAUGGAGGCAACUCUGACCCAGCCAUCCCGCGUGAAGGAUUAAGGCCCUAUGGGUUGUAAACUUCUUUUGUUUGGGAAGAAAUCAGGACAUUCAUGUGCUGUUGACGGUACCUUACGAAUAAGCACCGGCUAACUCCGUGCCAGCAGCCGCGGUAAUACGGAGGGUGCAAGCGUUAUCCGGAAUCACUGGGUUUAAAGGGUGCGUAGGCGGUUUGAUAAGUCAGAGGUGAAAGCUAGCAGCUUAACUGUUAAAUUGCCUUUGAUACUGUCAGACUUGAAUCAAGUUGAGGUAGGCGGAAUGUGACAUGUAGCGGUGAAAUGCAUAGAUAUGUCAUAGAACNNCNAUUGCGUAGGCAGCUUGCUGGGCUUGAAUUGACGCUGAGGCACGAAAGCGUGGGGAUCAAACAGGAUUAGAUACCCUGGUAGUCCACGCCCUAAACGAUGUUAACUCGAUAUUUAUUCUUCGGAGUGAGUGUCCAAGCGAAAGCGUUAAGUUAACCACCUGGGGAGUACGUUCGCAAGAAUGAAACUCAAAUGAAUUGACGGA
rnacentral:rRNA from 1 species